CUUGGCUGUUGGGGAGCUGAAUUUUGGGAUCACUUUGUCUGCUGGGUGAGGAGGUGAGCUGAAGGAGGGCUUCAGUCACCCUAGCCUGUGGUAGGAAGUGUCUCACUGCUAAGCACAAAGUGGAGUCUGGCUUUGAUCUCAUUAACCCCAUCAGCACUGGAGUAGCAGGUGUGUUUCUGGAGCUUGACUCUUGCAGACACCUGAGGUGCAUAGAAAGUGGCAGAGACUACUUCAGAACCAAAAAAAGAAAAACAAUGAGAUGGAGAAGAAGGAAAACCCACAGCAGCAGUAACAGGAAGAGCAUCUUAGAAACAGCUUUGCACAAAGGGGCUCGGUCACUGCCUGUCUCAGCAUAGAUGGUGUUCACUUACCUCCCAGCAGAGAAUAACUUGGAACAAAGUGCUUUCAAGCAUGGUGUUUGCAUACAGGGGAAAAGCUGCUGAAAACAGAGGAAUUAUAGUGAUAAAUCCCCUUGUGAAUUGAGAAAGAAGCUUUUUACAAUUUUCUGACAAAACAUCAGUCCAACUGUAUCUACUCCUGCUGAACUCUUGUCAGCUUUUGUCCUUUCUACCUUCCUCCUUCCCUGGAACUACUGUCCUAGUCAGCUCUUCUUGUGACACCUUUGGAAGUCAUCUUUCUUAACAGAGGUGUUGUUGUGCUGCUUCAUUCCCUUUCCCUGCCAGGAAGGAUUGUUUUCCUCUACACAAUUCAGCAGAGCAGCUGCUGGCGCUGAAAAUAUUGAUGAUGUGGAGGUGAUUUGGAACAUGGCAAGUUUCCUCAAACAAACAAGUAAUGCAGUUACAUUUGUGGGCUUUGGCUGAGCUAUCCUAUAAUGAAGUACACUGAGAAAAUAUCUUUUUCAGUCUUUUUAAAUUUUAGUCUGAAACCUAAGUUUAAAAAAGAGCUGAUGGACCAACUGUCUCCUGUCUAAGCUACCUUUAAUAGGAACAGUAGGGCUGGUUUAGCUGUUCCUCAAGGAGCAAACAGGGAAUAAUUCCACAUUUACUACAUCUCUCACAUUAACUUUGAAUCUUUAUAAACACAAACUAGGAUAUAUAUAUAGGCAUCCUAAUACCUAACAGCAUGUGGAAAGAGGGAUGUGAUUUAGAAAAUGUGUGCCCUGGAAGUUUUCAGCAUCUCAACUUGGUUUUCCUGACAUGAUCCUCCAUUUCAGUCUCUCUUUUCUUUGCCUACAGAGGUCUGACAGCAGGAAUUGUCCCUUCCUCCCUUAGAAAGAGCUCUGAGCAAAUGAUCUUUCUGUGUCUUCCUAAGAAGUGCUGAGCACUUUCACUUUAUAGCAAUUGGCACUCUGGAAAAUUUAAGUUUGGAGGAGCUAAUAAAUCUACAGGAGUGUUUGUAAUUGACUCAAAGUUGUUGUUUUUUUCAUGUGGCAAGUUUUUUAAAAACCAGCAGAUGGUUUUGAAAGGUAAUUCUUGACAUCAGUCCAGCUCCAAAAAUGUUGUUUUCCAUUUGCUUCCCAUGUUUCACACUGUUGGUGUGUGAUGAAAUGUGAGUAGUGCUACUGCUGAGCUGCUGUGCUCUUGUAGGCUUGUGGUGAGAGAUCUUUUCCAUGUCUUUUCAACCAUAAAAGGGUAAAAGAAAGGUAUGGUGUUGGUUUGUUUGUUUUCCCCCCUAUACAAUACCUGCAGCAAAGACUCAAAGAAUAU